rnacentral:rRNA from 1 species
CUAAAAGCCAACCGAGUCGUCUUUCGGGGCGGCUCGCUUAGCGAUGACUCCGAAUAACUAUUGCAGAUCGCAGUGGCCAUCAAGUGCCGGCGACAUAUCUUUCAAAUGUCUGCCCUAUCAACUUUCGAUGGUAGUCGAUAUGACUACCACGGUCGUAACGGGUAACGGGGAAUCAGGGUUCGAUUCCGGAGAGGGAGCCUGAGAAACGGCUGCUACACCUACGGGGGGCAGCAGGCGCGCAAAUUACCCACUCCCGGCACGGGGAGGUAGUGACGAAAAAUAACGGCUCCGGCUCUAUCUAGGGUCGGUGAUCGCAAUGAGAACAGUGUAAAUACUUUAACGAGUAUCGAAUAGAGGGCAAGUCUGGUGCCAGCAGCCGCGGUAAUUCCAGCUCUAUUAGCGUAUAUUAAAGUUGUUGCGUUUAAAAAGCUCGUAGUUGGAUCUCAGAUGUGUCUUAUUGCUAUCAAUUUUACUAAUUGAUUUAGUAAUAGGCACUCUCUUAUGAUCGUUUUCUCCAAUUAUAGUGUCUUUAAUUAGAUGCUAUAAUUGGGCGAUCGUUUUACUUUGAAGAAAAUA